UAAGGAAUAUUGGUCAAUGGACGGAAGUCUGAACCAGCCAUGCCGCGUGCAGGAAGACUGCCCUAUGGGUUGUAAACUGCUUUUAUACGGGAACAAACGUCGGUACGUGUACCGGUCUGAGUGUACCGUAAGAAUAAGGAUCGGCUAACUCCGUGCCAGCAGCCGCGGUAAUACGGAGGAUCCGAGCGUUAUCCGGAUUUAUUGGGUUUAAAGGGUGCGUAGGCGGCCUGUUAAGUCAGGAGUGAAAGACGGCAGCUCAACUGUCGCAGUGCUCUUGAUACUGACGGGCUUGAAUGCCGUUGAAGAUGGCGGAAUGAGACAAGUAGCGGUGAAAUGCAUAGAUAUGUCUUCAGAACCCCGAUUGCGAAGGCAGCUGUCUAAGCGGUAAUUUGACGCUGAUGCACGAAAAGCGUGGGGAGCAAACA
rnacentral:rRNA from 1 species